rnacentral:rRNA from 1 species
CCUACGGGAGGCAGCAGUGAGGAAUAUUGGUCAAUGGGCUUACGCCUGAACCAGCCAAGUCGCGUGAGGGAAGACUGCCCUAUGGGUUGUAAACCUCUUUUGUCAGGGAGCAACGCCGGCUACGUGUCGCCGGACUGAGAGUACCUGGAGAAAAAGCAUCGGCUAACUCCGUGCCAGCAGCCGCGGUAAUACGGAGGAUGCGAGCGUUAUCCGGAUGUAUUGGGUUUAAAGGGUGCGUAGGUGGAGUGUUAAGUCAGGUGGGAAAGUUCGCGGCUCAAACGUAAAAUUGCGGUUGAAACUGGGAGGCUUGAGUGGAGGAGAGGAGGGCGGAAGGCGUGGUGUAGCGGUGAAAUGCAUAGAUAUCACGAAGAACUCCGAUUGCGAAGGCAGUUCACUGGAGUGCAACUGACACUGAGGCUCGAAAGUGUGGGGAUCAAACAGGAUUAGAUACCCGGGUAGUC